UUAACUGAAACCAAAAAGGAGGUAUGCCACUGUUAAUGGUAUGAUUGAAGUACAUUCCAGUUAAA
rnacentral:tRNA from 2 species